rnacentral:lncRNA from 1 species
AUCCGAAGCAUGAUCAGAUAGCUAUGGUGGAAUCCGACUCUAAUAAAUAGAUUAACAUUGAUUUUUGGAGCGAUUUGGGCGGUCCAAAGGCAAUCCGAUGGCCAAAAAUUAAUGUACUAGUUCUAAUACAUUUUCUAAGGAUUUUAGGACUCCUUUUGUUACCAAAAAAAGGUGAAAAAUUUAUCUAUAAAUAGGAGAUCCAAAAAUAAGUCUAGAGAGAAGAUAAAAUUAGU